CCACCCGGAUGCCGUGAGGCCUCUGUCCGCUCAAUGGCCCUGGUGCACCUUCCCCGGUACCAGGUCAGCAGCGGGCGGACAGGGACCUGACGGCAUCCGCCAUAUUUC
rfam:Amycolatopsis mediterranei S699, complete genome.